rnacentral:pre_miRNA from 26 species
GGAAGAGGAGGAAGCCCUGGAGGGGCUGGAGGUGAUGGAUGUUUUCCUCCGGUUCUCAGGGCUCCACCUCUUCCG